AUGGCCAUAUCAUGUUGAAAUGCUGGUUCCCAUAUGAUCACCAAAGUUAAGCAAUGGUCAGUACCUAGAUGGGUGACUCUUUGGGAAUACCAGGUGCUGUAAG